GACGAACGCUGGCGGCGUGCCUAAUACAUGCAAGUAGAACGCUGAAGGAGGAGCUUGCUUCUCUGGAUGAGUUGCGAACGGGUGAGUAACGCGUAGGUAACCUGCCUGUUAGCGGGGGAUAACUAUUGGAAACGAUAGCUAAUACCGCAUAAUAGUGACUAUUGCAUGAUAGUCAGUGGAAAGGUUCAACUGCACCACUACCAGAUGGACCUGCGUCGUUUUAGCUAGUUGGUGGGGUAACGGAUCACCAAGGCGACGAUACAUAGCCGACCGGCGAGGGGGGUCGGCCACCCUGGGACGGAGACACGGCACAGAGUGCUUGGGGAGGCAGCAGUAGGGAAUCGUCGGCCAUGGACGGAAGUCUGAGCGAGCAAGGCCGAGUGCGUGAAGAACGUUUUCGGAUCGUAAAGCUCUGUUGUCAGAGAAGAAAGAGUGUGAGAGUGGAAAGAUCAGAGUGUGACGGUAACUUACAAGAAAGCGACGGCUAACUACGUG
rnacentral:rRNA from 1 species